rnacentral:rRNA from 1 species
AAUCCAGACUCCUACGGGAGGCAGCAGUGAGGAAUAUUGGUCAAUGGGCGCGAGCCUGAACCAGCCAAGUCGCGUGAGGGAUGACGGUCCUACGGAUUGUAAACCUCUUUUGCCGGGGAGCAAGCGUGCGUUCGUGAACGCGCGUCGAGAGUACCCGGAGAAAAAGCAUCGGCUAACUACGUGCCAGCAGCCGCGGUAAUACGUAGGGAGCGAGCGUUGUCCGGAAUUACUGGGUGUAAAGGGAGCGUAGGCGGGACGGCAAGUCAGAUGUGAAAACUGAGGGCUCAACCUUCAGACUGCAUUUGAAACUGCUGUUCUUGAGUGAAGUAGAGGUAAGCGGAAUUCCUAGUGUAGCGGUGAAAUGCGUAGAUAUUAGGAGGAACAUCGGUGGCGAAGGCGGCUUACUGGGCUUUUACUGACGCUGAGGCUCGAAAGCGUGGGGAGCAAACAGGAUUAGAUACCCUCGUAG